rnacentral:rRNA from 1 species
ACUCCUACGGGAGGCAGCAGUGGGGAAUAUUGCACAAUGGGCGCAAGCCUGAUGCAGCCAUGCCGCGUGUAUGAAGAAGGCCUUCGGGUUGUAAAGUACUUUCAGCAGUGAGGAAGGUGGUAGUGUUAAUAGCACUAUCAUUUGACGUUAGCUGCAGAAGAAGCACCGGCUAACUCCGUGCCAGCAGCCGCGGUAAUACGGAGGGUGCGAGCGUUAAUCGGAAUUACUGGGCGUAAAGCGCAUGCAGGUGGUUUGUUAAGUCAGAUGUGAAAGCCCGGGGCUCAACCUCGGAAUUGCAUUUGAAACUGGCAGACUAGAGUACUGUAGAGGGGGGUAGAAUUUCAGGUGUAGCGGUGAAAUGCGUAGAGAUCUGAAGGAAUACCGGUGGCGAAGGCGGCCCCCUGGACAGAUACUGACACUCAGAUGCGAAAGCGUGGGGAGCAAACAGGAUUAGAUACCCUGGUAGCACAGAG